rnacentral:rRNA from 1 species
CACGUAGGGCGCAAGCGUUGUCCGGAAUUAUUGGGCGUAAAGAGCUCGUAGGCGGUCUGUUGCGUCCGCUGUGAAAACUCGGGGCUUAACCCCGAGCCUGCAGUGGAUACGGGCAGACUAGAGGUAGGUAGGGGAGAAUGGAAUUCCCGGUGUAGCGGUGAAAUGCGCAGAUAUCGUGAGGAAGACCAGUGGCGAAGGCGGAUCUCUGGACAGCUCCUGACGCUGAGGCGCGAAGGCUAGGGGAGCAAACGGG